UUUCCGGUGGCCAUAGCGGCGGAGUCACACCCGUUCCCAUUCCGAACACGGAAGUUAAGCCCGCCAGCGCCGAUGGUACUUGGGGAGAGAUCCCCUGGGAGAGUAGGUCGCCGCCGGAUUUC
rnacentral:rRNA from 1 species